AACGCGUGAGGAACCUGCCUCAAAGAGGGGGACAACAGUUGGAAACGACUGCUAAUACCGCAUAAGCCCACGGGUCGGCAUCGACCAGAGGGAAAAGGAGCAAUCCGCUUUGAGAUGGCCUCGCGUCCGAUUAGCUAGUUGGUGAGGUAAUGGCCCACCAAGGCGACGAUCGGUAGCCGGACUGAGAGGUUGAACGGCCACAUUGGGACUGAGACACGGCCCAGACUCCUACGGGAGGCAGCAGUGGGGAAUAUUGCACAAUGGGGGAAACCCUGAUGCAGCGACGCCGCGUGGAGGAAGAAGGUCUUCGGAUUGUAAACUCCUGUUGUUGAGGAAGAUAAUGACGGUACUCAACAAGGAAGUGACGGCUAACUACGUGCCAGCAGCCGCGGUAAAACGUAGGUCACAAGCGUUGUCCGGAAUUACUGGGUGUAAAGGGAGCGCAGGCGGGAAGACAAGUUGGAAGUGAAAUCUAUGGGCUCAACCCAUAAACUGCUUUCAAAACUGUUUUUCUUGAGUAGUGCAGAGGUAGGCGGAAUUCCCGGUGUAGCGGUGGAAUGCGUAGAUAUCGGGAGGAACACCAGUGGCGAAGGCGGCCUACUGGGCACCAACUGACGCUGAGGCUCGAAAGUGUGGGUAGCAAACAGGAUUAGAUACCCUGGUAGUCCACACCGUAAACGAUGAUUACUAGGUGU
rnacentral:rRNA from 1 species